rnacentral:lncRNA from 1 species
CUCAUUUCAUGCAUUAAUCCCCCUUUCAUUUUUCCCUCUUUCUUUUUUUUCUUUUUCUUUUUUUUUUCGGUAAACAGGGGCUCCCCUGUUUCCCUAACAGGGGCUCCCCUGUUUCCCUCUCCUCUUUUCUCUUUUUGGAUAGCCGGCUCCUCUGUUUCACCCCAUGGGGCCUCCCUCCUCCCACAGCCGAGAGGGAUAUAUGGGGUCGAUCCCCUCCUCACAACGCGGUGGAGAUGGCCGGAUGAGGCUGUGGAUGCGGGAGAAUCGGACGCGGAAACCUUUCGCGGGAUGCUAGGGGAUCUGAUGCACGAGAUCAUCACGGACGGCUGGCUUGCAGACGCGGCAAGGAUCCGUCGCUGGGAGGUUACAUGGACACGGGAUGCUCCUCUCGUGCUGGCUUCCGAGUAUCCCGGGCGCUGAGGAGUAGAUCUGGAAACGGAAGAUGCUUCGCGGACGGCUGGGCUUGAGCACGAAUCCGGAAGACGAGCGGAUGGAUCGCGCUGAAGAUCGGACGCGUGGAGACGUGGAUCGCUCGCGGAGGGAUGCAGAGAUGCUGGGAAGCGCGGAUAGCUCGGAAGGAAGCUGGGAUGCGGACGUUGGAAUCGGGAGAUGCCGGGAUCUUCGGACGCGGUGAAGCUUGGGACGCGUGGGAGGAUGGACUCGGAAGCUUCACGGGAUGCUGGGGCUUGGGAGGAUGCGGACGGAUGAGACUUGGGAGGAGCAGACGGACGCGUGGGAUCGCACGAGAUUGUUGACGAAGAAGGCUGCCGCGGGAUGCUGGGCUGCGUGGACUGCUGAGAAGGGAAAAUGAAGCUGCGACGAAGUGGACCGCUGAACUUGACCUCCUUUUA